rnacentral:misc_RNA from 1 species
GAUGAAGAACGUAGCGAAAUGCGAUAAGUAAUGUGAAUUGCAGAAUCCAGUGAAUCAUCGAAUCUUUGAACGCACAUUGCGCCCGCCAGCAUUCUGGCGGGCAUGCCUGUUCGAGCGUCAUUUCAACCCUCGACCUCCCUUUGGGGAAGUCGGCGUUGGGGACCGGCAGCACACCGCCGGCCCUGAAAUGGAGUGGCGGCCCAUCCGCGGCGACCUCUGCGUAGUAAACCAACUCGCACCGGAACCCCGACGUGGCCACGCCGUAAAACACCCAACUUCUGAACGUUGACCUCGAAUCAGGUAGGACUACCCGCUGAACUUAAGCAUAUCAAUAAGCGGAGGA